rnacentral:tRNA from 1 species
GUGACCAUAGCUCAGUUGGUUAGAGCGCAAGAUUGUGGCUCUUGAGGUCGUGGGUUCGACUCCCAUUGGUCACC